ACUCCUACGGGAGGCAGCAGUGGGGAAUAUUGCACAAUGGGGGAAACCCUGAUGCAGCCAUGCCGCGUGUGUGAAGAAGGCCUUGGGUUGUAAAGCACUUUCAGUAGGGAGGAAGGUAGUGUAGUUAAUACCUGCAUUAUUUGACGUUACCUACAGAAGAAGCACCGGCUAACUCCGUGCCAGCAGCCGCGGUAAUACGGAGGGUGCGAGCGUUAAUCGGAAUUACUGGGCGUAAAGCGCAUGCAGGCGGCCUGUUAAGUCAGAUGUGAAAGCCCGGGGUCUUAACCUCGGAAUUGCAUUUGAAACUGGCAGGCUAGAGUCUUGUAGAGGGGUUAGAAUUUCAGGUGUAGCGGUGAAAUGCGUAGAGAUCUGAAGGAAUACCGAGUGGCGAAGGCGGCCCCUGGACAAAGACUGACGCUCAGAUGCGAAAGCGUGGGAGCAAACAGGAUUACGAUACCCCGUGGUAGCGACU
rnacentral:rRNA from 1 species